rnacentral:rRNA from 1 species
GUAGGUAAUCUACCCUAGAGUUUGGAAUAACCGGCCGAAAGGCUGGCUAAUACUGGAUAGAGCGACGGAAACCGUAAUUGGUUUUUUCGGGAAAGGGAGCUCGCAAGAGCCCUCGCUUUAGGAUGAGCCUGCGUCCCAUCAGCUAGUUGGUAAGGUAACGGCUUACCAAGGCUUUGACGGGUAGCUGGUCUGAGAGGAUGAUCAGCCACACUGGAACUGAAACACGGUCCAGACUCCUACGGGAGGCAGCAGUGGGGAAUCUUGCGCAAUGGGCGAAAGCCUGACGCAGCCACGCCGCGUGAGUGAAGAAGGCCUUCGGGUUGUAAAGCUCUGUCGAGCGGGACGAAAAGCUAUACAGUUAAGAGCUGGGUAGCCUGACGGUACCGCUAAAGGAAGCACCGGCUAACUCUGUGCCAGCAGCCGCGGUAAUACAGAGGGUGCAAGCGUUGCUCGGAAUUAUUGGGCGUAAAGGGUAGGUAGGUGGUCCCAUUUGUCAGGGGUGAAAGCCUUGGGCUUAACUCAAGAAGUGCCCCUGAAACGGUGAGACUAGAGUACUGGAGAGGGUCGUGGAAUU